rfam:Hordeum vulgare subsp. vulgare, WGS project CAJW01000000 data, contig: morex_contig_2538770
GGGAGAGCAAUACAAGCGUUGUGCUCCUAGGCGAAGCGGUUGAGUGCCGCACCCUAGAUGGCUAAAGUCCANNNNCCGAAAGCAUCACUAGCUUAUGCUCUGACCCGAGUAGCAUGGGGCACGUGGAAUCCCGUGUGAAUCAGCAAGGACCACCUUGCAAGGCUAAAUACUCCUGGUCG